UCUUCACCCUUCUGAGCCUCAUGUUCCCUAUGUGUAAGAUGAAGGUAACUGUCCCUGACCUGCCCACCUCCCAGGGUUGUGUGGGAACCAAUUAGAUCUGGACCUGUGAGGAAAACUGUACAAACCUUUGAGGCUGUUCAGUCAUGAGACUCUUCUACCCACACCCCCUACAUACAAUUAAGUGCUUGCUGCAGAGGCAUUGGGGUCUCUGGCCAGAGGUGACAUCUGAAGCAAUCAGGAUCCUGUUCGGUUUUUCCACAUCCGACCUGCCGCCGGGCCAGGGCAAGAGAGCCACGCGCGGCGGAUGCACGGGCCCUGAACUCUUUCCCGAGUAGUCCCCAGAGAUUUCAGGAAGAGAGAGAAGAGGUAAAGGGACCAGAAACAAAGUCUUCUGUGAGCAAACAAUGGCAACAGGCCCCAGAUGUUAGGUUUGAGGGGCAUAUGAGGCAGGGGACUGAACUGCAGAGUUGGGCCAGAGGUCCCCUUGCUGACCCCCUGAACCCCAGGAGCCUUGAGAGUACUGACCGUGUUAACAAUAACUGCAAAUAUCCCACAUAGGAUGCUAGAAUAACUGGACAUCUGUGUGCCAAAACCAUGAAUGUAUACCUUGCACCUUAUCACAAAAUUCACUCAAAAUGGAUCAGAGACCAAAAUGUAAAACACAAAACUGAGAAUCCUAGGGGAAAGUAGGAGAAAAUCUUUGUGACUUUGGGGUUAAGCAAAGCUUUUUGCUAAAGACACUGAUAAGAGAUUGAAAACACAAGCACACAGAUUGGUCGAUAAUCUUUGCAAAACAUGUAUCUGAUAAAAGACUUGUGUCCAGAAUAUAUAAAGAACUCUCUCUUUUUUCUU